AUGAAAAAUAUGCCGAAUCUCUAUUAUGAGUACGGGGGAGAUUUUUUAGGGGUGAAUCUCAUUUUUGAGUAGGGUGACCUCAACCCGAACCCGUCAACUAACCUCGGAGGCAAUAGGAGGUAUUUUA
rnacentral:sRNA from 2 species